CAGGCCUAACACAUGCAAGUCGAGCGGACCAUUCCUUCGGGGAUGGUUAGCGGCGGACGGGUGAGUAACACGUAGGCAACCUGCCUGUAAGAUCGGGAUAACUACCGGAAACGGUAGCUAAGACCGGAUAGCUGGUUCCUCCGCAUGGGGGAAUCAUGAAACACGGGGCAACCUGUGGCUUACGGAUGGGCCUGCGGCGCAUUAGCUAGUUGGUGGGGUAACGGCCCACCAAGGCGACGAUGCGUAGCCGACCUGAGAGGGUGAUCGGCCACACUGGGACUGAGACACGGCCCAGACUCCUACGGGAGGCAGCAGUAGGGAAUCUUCCGCAAUGGGCGCAAGCCUGACGGAGCAACGCCGCGUGAGUGAUGAAGGUUUUCGGAUCGUAAAGCUCUGUUGCCAAGGAAGAACGCCUCGGAGAGUAACUGCUCUGAGGGUGACGGUACUUGAGAAGAAAGCCCCGGCUAACUACGUGCCAGCAGCCGCGGUAAUACGUAGGGGGCAAGCGUUGUCCGGAAUUAUUGGGCGUAAAGCGCGCGCAGGCGGUCUUUUAAGUUUGGUGUUUAAGCCCGGGGCUCAACCCCGGUUCGCACUGAAAACUGGGAGACUUGAGUGCAGGGGAGGAAAGCGGAAUUCCACGUGUAGCGGUGAAAUGCGUAGAGAUGUGGAGGAACACCAGUGGCGAAGGCGGCUUUCUGGACUGUAACUGACGCUGAGGCGCGAAAGCGUGGGGAGCAAGCAGGAUUAGAU
rnacentral:rRNA from 1 species